AAGCGGAGGAAAAGAAACCAACAGGGAUUGCCUCAGUAACGGCGAGUGAAGCGGCAAAAGCUCAAAUUUGAAAUCCCCCGGGAAUUGUAAUUUGAAGAGAUUUGGGUCCGGCCGGCGGGGGUUAAGUCCACUGGAAAGUGGCGCCACAGAGGGUGACAGCCCCGUGAACCCCUUCAAAGCCCUCAUCCCAGAUCUCCAAGAGUCGAGUUGUUUGGGAAUGCAGCUCUAAGUGGGUGGUAAAUUCCAUCUAAAGCUAAAUACCGGCGAGAGACCGAUAGCGAACAAGUACAGUGAUGGAAAGAUGAAAAGCACUUUGAAAAGAGAGUGAAAAAGUACGUGAAAUUGUUGAAAGGGAAGGGCUUGCAAGCAGACACUUAACUGGGCCAGCAUCGGGGCGGCGGGAAACAAAACCACCGGGGAAUGUACCUUUCGAGGAUUAUAACCCCGGUCCCUAUUUCCUUGUUGCCCCGAGGCCUGCAAUCUAAGGAUGCUGGCGUAAUGGUUGCAAGUCGCCCGUCUUGACC
rnacentral:rRNA from 2 species